GGGAGUGGGCAGUUGCAAGUGACAAAGUCAGUUAGGGAGUGACUUACAAGAGGAAAGAAAAUAGAGAAGAAAAAAAACAAUACGUGGGGGAAGGGUACUUUUGCUGCUUGCUAAAAAGGCACUGUUGCCUCAGUUGCUAGGAACUGUUUGUUUUAGAUGGAGAAAGCAGGAAAUCGAAGGAGAGAAGUCAGUUAAUGAUUAUCGACAACAACUGGCUUUUUCCUCUCCGCACAAGUUAUUAGCCAGAGUGACCCUGGCCCUGCCGACACACAGAGAAGUUGGAUCUUGUACUUGAAAGUCCUCUAUACGGACCUGUGUGGAGGACAAAGCAGCCAGCCAACCACUGCUGCGAGCAUCGGGACAAUGAAAGAAGGAGGCUGUUGAGAGUCUCUGCAGCUUCACUCAUUGGGGAAUUUCAUGUGACUAAACUUAGUGAUGGCAAAAGCAACAGGAUGCAUAUAUGCGAAAAAAACAAAAAACAAAUAGCCAAUAGCAGAGCGGAUGCUGUGAGUACAGCUAACUUACAAUCUGCAAGGAAUCCACUGUAGGACAGGGCUGCCACUUAAAAAGGUGAGUAGGGCGAAGACGUAAGGGCCAACAGUGCACUCUGGUGGAAUGGGCCAGGAGAUCAAUAUUUGGAGCAUAAUUGAGCCACUGAAAACUAGAGUGGGCUAACUUCAUUUUUGUCAUAUUGCAGGAGGGUGAUUGAAAGUUUUAGAGUUGCCACUGAAAGGUUACUGCGAGAGUGGUCUUGGAACGAGCAUCCGUCAAAUCGAUCAAUAGUUCAUGAAAGACGGCUAAUUACACUCACUUACGUAUACAAGAUGCACAUUAUACAUAGGUAUGAAGAAAAUGUAAUGUUCCCUUUGUAUAAAUGGACACCGGGAGCCAGGGUUUGUGAAAGAGGUGUACUUUCAUUCCAAUAUGAUAUGUAAUCUCUAAUAUUACAAAUGUAAAAUUUGCUACAUUUUCUCUGCUCUCUCGAGAAUCAUGGCGUCCUUGUGGGCGCUGCCAUAUCGAUAUCAUAUAUCUCUCAGGAUGGACUGCCGGGUCAAGGACUGAGUUUUACAUUGUCGCCAUGUCACACACCAACUACAUUUGUCCUAUAUAUUUAGUACAUUACAGCUUACUUUCCACCACAACGCGGUCUCCAGUUAGAUACCUUUAAGACAUUUCACUCUGAACUCCUUCCUUCUUGGAUCGCUACUCUGCGUUGCUACAGAAGAUAGCUAGUGUCUGCCACUCGCUCCUGCGGCUAGCUGAUCUAGCUGCUAACUGCCUGCUAGCAGCUUUAGACUUGCAGAAAAACAACAGUCGAUAAGAAAACAACACCCGCUGGACUAUGCACCAAGUAUGAACCAACAACUUGAUUUAUCCAAUGCUGCGGACUCCGAGGGAAGCACUCGACUACUUUGUACCUGUCCAAUCAUUUCAGGACACAGCCGACAUGGCACCCAGUCGCAACAUACCCGGGGGACUUAAACUAUAACACUCCGGUUUAAAGUCCAGAGCCCUUACAGGCGGAGCGGUCGUCUCCUCCACCUCACUGGUCAUCGAGCGGGUGAUUCGGCCCUUACGGCGUCCUUGGCUGUUGGCUGUUCGUCGGCCCUUGACGGCCACCGUAGGCUCUUUGUCCUCUGCAUCUUCCCCAGAAGUUUCAU